AGAGAAUUAGAGAAAAAACUUUUCCGAACUUCUCAUUCCGCUUUCUGUUGCAGACUUCAGAGUCGCCGUGAUCAGUUCAACUGCGGUUGCUGUUGUCUACAGUUUUGUGUCAAGCAAAGCUCAGUCCUAGAAGCUUCAAGGACAGCUGAAGCUGAUGUGUUUCACACUUUUGAUUGGCCAUCGUCAGAGCAUCCCUUCCUGGUGGACCUUUAUGUUUGACGUGAUGCCAGUGGAGUUGACUUAGCAGCACUGAGCUCGAGCACGGUCUGGAUUACAAGGUCUAAGACAACGUCCGUCACGAUCUGGCACCUUCUCGAAAUGGCACACAUGACCAUUCUAGUACAGCAGCCUUGGGACUCGAGGUCUUUAAAGAUGCUGGUCCUGAAUCUACAAUCCUCCUGUUUCCAUAUCCAAAUGCUCGGGUCAUAGGUGUGCAGCAGUGUAUCCAGGCAACAGAUAUUUUCCUGGAUAGAUGUGCCAUUAAAGGCUUCAAGAGAACAAAUCUUAACUUCUUAUACCAUUUAUCUUUCUUCCCCCAAAAUCAAACUGUGACUAGACAUGCUGAAGAUUGCUUGAGUAUGUAUAAA